CAUGCAAGUCGAGCGGUAAGGCCCUUCGGGGUACACGAGCGGCGAACGGGUGAGUAACACGUGGGUGACCUGCCCUCAGCUCUGGGAUAAGCCUGGGAAACUGGGUCUAAUACCGGAUAUGACCUUUCCUCGCAUGGGGUUGGGUGGAAAGUUUUUCGGCUGGGGAUGGGCCCGCGGCCUAUCAGCUUGUUGGUGGGGUGAUGGCCUACCAAGGCGACGACGGGUAGCCGGCCUGAGAGGGCGACCGGCCACACUGGGACUGAGAUACGGCCCAGACUCCUACGGGAGGCAGCAGUGGGGAAUAUUGCGCAAUGGGCGAAAGCCUGACGCAGCGACGCCGCGUGGGGGAUGACGGCCUUCGGGUUGUAAACCUCUUUCGACCGGGACGAAGGGUGACUGACGGUACCGGUAGAAGAAGCACCGGCCAACUACGUGCCAGCAGCCGCGGUAAUACGUAGGGUGCGAGCGUUGUCCGGAAUUAUUGGGCGUAAAGAGCUCGUAGGCGGUGUGUCGCGUCGGUCGUGAAAACUUGGGGCUUAACCCUGAGCGUGCGGUCGAUACGGGCAUCACUUGAGUUCGGCAGGGGAGACUGGAAUUCCUGGUGUAGCGGUGAAAUGCGCAGAUAUCANGAGGAACACCGGUGGCGAANGCGGGUCUCUGGGCCGAUACUGACGCUGA
rnacentral:rRNA from 1 species